GAGCGCGAUUAACAAGCCGGUUAAUAUUGAAGAGUGCAUCGAGAAAGCAAAAAAUUUCGAAUUGACUAUGGAUGAUGAUCACUCGGAGCUUAACGGUAAAUAGAGUUUACAAGUCGGUGGAAGGAAUAUAUAUGGUUGGCCGCACUUUUGCUCCAUCCAUCAAAUAUCACGAAAGGACUUGAAGUCUAGAAAUAUUUCCAUUUUUAUAUUUCACUGUCAUUUCGGUUAAUGUUCGAUGAUUAUGUGUACUUUUUUUUCCCCCUUUGGUGGUGCUUUCAAUGUGCUUUUGAUGAUCAUAUGGAGAUGCAUUGAAUUGGUCUUGAGUUUUAAAGCUUGGACCGUGGGCACUCGGAGUCUUGGACAUGAAUUGUUAUUG